GACAUCUAUUGCCUUGAAGAGCAACACCCAACCUUCUGCAACAAGAUUGAAGUUAUAGGGCGGUUAGCCACGUUGUUCAUACCUUCGUCACCACCAUCACCUCCUGCCCAGCUGUCUUGAGACUGAAUAUAGGUCGACCGGGUCUUAUUGUACUGCAUUCUCACUUUGCACCACCGUGUCGACCAAAGAGACAACCAAAUAUUGAAGCGCAUACAUUAUACUGUACCAGACAAUGCAAAGGUGUGAAGUUCCUUUGUGCUCAACGGCAACACAGAACUUCUAGGCCUGACUUGUCAUUCUUCCUGCAGCAUGGUUGAGGUUUGUCUCCGAGCAUUCAUCUUCUCUGAGAUUCCCUUUUGUCACUGUAUUAUUUUUUUGUGGAAAUUAAGAGGACCAGAUCCAUUACGUAAUCAUAGAAUUUGCAGCGUGUCAUCGUUUGUGUGGAUCUUCUCGUUUGUUGUUAACGAGCAGCAGUGCACGACGAGGUGCUCUCUCCUGUCUCUCAUUUGUUGUUUGUGUGGAUCUGAAAAUAGUAGGCUAUUAGUUUUAUUUUUCUGUGCUAGGAUUAGUUAUAAUUAGGUGCUAGGAAUUAACGAUAGGAGUAAGAUU